rnacentral:rRNA from 1 species
GAUGAACGCUGGCGGCGUGCUUAAUACAUGCAAGUCGAGCGGACAGACCCUGAUCUUGCGGCGCUGUCGUUAGCGGCGGGCGGGUGUGUCACACGUGUAUCACCUCCCUAACUGUCUGGGAUAACUUCGGAACAGGGGCGCUUAUAGCGGAUGAUCUCUUGCAGCGCAUUGUGCGUUAGUAAGAUACGGCUUUGGUGGAUGUUCUCGAUGGAUCCGGGCCGCAUGGGCUAGUUGGUCAGGUACAGGGUUAUCACGGCAACGAUGCGUAGCCGGACUGAUAGAGGGAUCGGCCACACUGGAACUGAGACGCGGUCCAGACUCCUACGGGAGGCAGCAGUAUGGAAUCGUCCGCAAUGGGCGAAAGCCUGACGGAGCAACGCCGCGUGAGUGAUGAAGGUCUUCGGAUCGUAAAACUCUGUUAUUAGGUAAGAACAAAUGUGGAAGUAACUAUGCACGUCUUGACGGUACCUAAUCAGAAAGCCACGGCUAACUACGUG